AACGCCUGGCGGCGUGCCUAAUACAUGCAAGUCGAGCGAGCUUGCCUAUAGAAAUUCUUCGGAAUGGACAUAGAUACAAGCUAGCGGCGGAUGGGUGAGUAACGCGUGGGUAACCUGCCCUUAAGUCUGGGAUACCAUUUGGAAACAGAUGCUAAUACCGGAUAAAAGCUACUUUCGCAUGAAAGAAGUUUAAAAGGCGGCGUAAGCUGUCGCUAAAGGAUGGACCUGCGAUGCAUUAGCUAGUUGGUAAGGUAACGGCUUACCAAGGCGAUGAUGCAUAGCCGAGUUGAGAGACUGAUCGGCCACAUUGGGACUGAGACACGGCCCAAACUCCUACGGGAGGCAGCAGUAGGGAAUCUUCCACAAUGGACGAAAGUCUGAUGGAGCAACGCCGCGUGAGUGAAGAAGGUUUUCGGAUCGUAAAGCUCUGUUGUUGGUGAAGAAGGAUAGAGGUAGUAACUGGCCUUUAUUUGACGGUAAUCAACCAGAAAGUCACGGCUAACUACGUUGCCAGCAGCCG
rnacentral:rRNA from 1 species